rnacentral:lncRNA from 1 species
CAGGCAGUUCCAGCCAUUUGCAAAGGAUAAGAAUGCCAAAGUUCAGAAUGAUUGCCUACAUUGGUGCUUGCCUGGGCCAAUAGACUCUUGGAAUGAUUUGGUUAUGGAAUUGUUGGUCAAUGGCGGAAAAUAUCGAUGAUCGAACGCCUGGCUUAUCGAUCGAACGCCUAGCUUAUCGAUCGAAUGCCUAGCUUAUCAAGCUCUCGGACUUCUCGGCCGGAAUCAAGUAUUAGCAGUCUUGCAGCUGUGGUUUGUCCUGUGAUCAAAUCUGUGCCUAAAACAACAGGCGCGACGCUGACCCGCAAUCCAUGAAAUGUAGAAAGACUUUGCUAAG